rnacentral:rRNA from 1 species
UACGAAGGGGGCUAGCGUUGCUCGGAAUCACUGGGCGUAAAGGGCGCGUAGGCGGCCAUUCAAGUCGGGGGUGAAAGCCUGUGGCUCAACCACAGCAUUGCCUUCGAUACUGUUUGGCUUGAGUUUGGUAGAGGUUGGUGGAACUGCGAGUGUAGAGGUGAAAUUCGUAGAUAUUCGCAAGAACACCAGUGGCGAAGGCGGCCAACUGGACCAACACUGACGCUGAGGCGCGAAAGCGUGGGGAGCAAACAGG